GUGGGCAAUCUGCCCUUCACUCUGGGACAAGCCCUGGAAACGGGGUCUAAUACCGGAUAACACUCUGUCCCGCAUGGGACGGGGUUGAAAGCUCCGGCGGUGAAGGAUGAGCCCGCGGCCUAUCAGCUUGUUGGUGGGGUAAUGGCCUACCAAGGCGACGACGGGUAGCCGGCCUGAGAGGGCGACCGGCCACACUGGGACUGAGACACGGCCCAGACUCCUACGGGAGGCAGCAGUGGGGAAUAUUGCACAAUGGGCGAAAGCCUGAUGCAGCGACGCCGCGUGAGGGAUGACGGCCUUCGGGUUGUAAACCUCUUUCAGCAGGGAAGAAGCGAAAGUGACGGUACCUGCAGAAGAAGCGCCGGCUAACUACGUGCCAGCAGCCGCGGUAAUACGUAGGGCGCAAGCGUUGUCCGGAAUUAUUGGGCGUAAAGAGCUCGUAGGCGGCUUGUCACGUCGGAUGUGAAAGCCCGGGGCUUA
rnacentral:rRNA from 1 species